UAAGAUCUUGGUGAUAUUCCUUCCAUCAAACCUCCCAACUUUGUCCACUACUACUUGUAAGGCCUUAGUAGUGUUUCUAUCCUGUCCAUAUACCUAUUGUCUUUCUUCCAUAAAUUGAGCAAAUGCCCUGAAUAAAUCAUGGGCACCCACUUCUCUUGAUAAUAAAAACCCUUGAUUUGAUCCCCCAUUUCAACUUGUUGAAAAAUCAAUGCCUUAAGGCUCUCUCAGUGGAAGCACUAAUAUGUCGCGGUAGAGAGAGUUUGCCUCAAGCAAACGCUAGGCUUAUGGCUAUCACUAAUUAUUCAAUCAAGCUUGAAAAUAAGAGAAGCCCUAAGUUUAUAUAUAAUUUUUCCCUUUUGAUUAAUUACACCUAAUGCACAAUCCUCAAGUAACCCACAACUUCCAAAAUAUGAU
rnacentral:lncRNA from 1 species